AAAAAGGGAAAACAAGGGGCUUUUGGUUCAGAGCCGAUGUUACAUCGUGUGUUGGUUUCUUUUAUUUCCUCGGUUUUCUUUUCUUAUUUCUUUAUUUUCUUACCGACUGCCCUUUUUCGUGCUUUUUCUUUUGAAUCUUCGAGUAUUCGAUUUUUAUUUUUCUUUCUUUUUCUCGAUUCAUCAAUUUUUUCUUCUUCUUUUGUUUUUGCACUUUCUUGGGCUUUGAGAGCUUUUGGGGUUUUUACCCAAAACUUAGCUUUUCAACACAGCUAGAAUACAUUCUCAUGACUCUGAACAGGGUGAGGAAGUGUUUUGGCCAAUGGUUACAUUUAUGGUGUUUUAAACAAAAAAUGGAUAUAGGCUCAAAGGGGGUUAACGAGGGACAUAAUAAUUUGGGAUGGCUAGAAAGGCUCGGGGUUAAUUACAAA
rnacentral:lncRNA from 1 species